GGGGCCGUAAGGUUGGUACCUUGGUCGCGGCUUGUCAUCCUGACUUUCGGGUUCGAUUCCCGACGGCUCCACCA
rnacentral:tRNA from 1 species